UACGUAGGGGGCUAGCGUUGUCCGGAAUCACUGGGCGUAAAGGGCGCGUAGGCGGCUUGAUAAGCGUGCGGUGAAAGCCCGGGGCUCAACCCCGGGUCGGCCGUGCGAACUGUCGAGCUGGAGCACUGUAGAGGCAGGUGGAAUUCCGGGUGUAGCGGUGGAAUGCGUAGGAGAUCCGGAAGAACACCGGUGGCGAAGGCGGCCUGCUGGG
rnacentral:rRNA from 1 species